rnacentral:pre_miRNA from 14 species
AAUUGCUGGGUCUUAUGGUAAUUCUAUGUUUAACUUUUUUGAGGAACUGCCAAACUGUUUCUCAAAGCAGCUGUACCAUUUUCCAUUCCCAUUAGCAGU